GCCCGCCUAGCUCAAUCGGAUAGAGCGUCAGACUCUUAAAGUGGCGGGGCUUGUAGGUCACGUGAUCCAGUGAUCUGAAGGCUGCGAGUUCGACCCUCGCGGUGGGCU
rnacentral:tRNA from 1 species